GACAAAUGUAUGCUUAUUUCUGACGGUAUUCACUCACUAACCCAAAGCAUUUUUAUGCGCACAGCCUUACAGAUACAGAAGAUGGUCUAUCCUUGCGAUGCACGUGCUACUCUCUGCAGUGUGAGGAGACCACUCUGCUGCCAGCCCCGUGGACGGAAACUGAAGAACUGCUCGGAGUUGAAGCUCCUUUCUGGAAAGUUGACCCAUCGGAGUUCUCCUUCUCUUAGAGUGAUAAUAUCUGGACGUGCCUCUUCAUGGGUUCGCGCAUAUGUCCCUGUGUAUGCCACACUGGUUUCAUUCAACUUGUCCAUCACAAAAACAUCAAAGUAAUAUUGAGUGUCAGUCCUCCCUUUGGGCAGCUUUACAUGGGUGAUCUUCCCCUCUGGCAGCCAUGUUGUGGGUCGAAGGGGCACCUCAUUCUCGGGUGAAAGCGCUGAUCGGACUUGAGGCCACACAGAACUCCAGCACAACACCACG